rnacentral:rRNA from 1 species
CGAGCACGCGCGUGUGGCAUAUCAAUAAGCGGAGGAAAAGAAACUAACAAGGAUUCCCUUAGUAACGGCGAGUGAAGCGGGAAGAGCUCAAAUUUGAAAUCUUCAAGGUUCUACCUUGACGAAUUGUAGUUUAUAGAAGUGUUUUCUGUUAGUAGGAGUGGCAAAAGUUCUUUGGAAUAGGACAUCAUAGAGGGUGAGAAUCCCGUAUUUGGUCAUUCCUCCUAGCGUUGUGAUACACUUUCAACGAGUCGGAUUGUUUGGGAAUGCAGUCCAAAAUGGGUGGUAAAUUUCAUCUAAAGCUAAAUAUUGGCGAGAGACCGAUAGCGAACAAGUACCGUGAGGGAAAGAUGAAAAGAACUUUGAAAAGAGAGUUAAACAGUACGUGAAAUUGUCAAAAGGGAAGCGUUUGACACCAGUGUUGCUUUUUCCGAAAAUCAAUUACGAAUGUUUUGUUUUUAAGGAGUUAUGACUUCAUCGGCUUGCUUCUUUCUUUAUGAAACUUUCUUAAUGCACUUUUCGGUUAACAAGUCAACAUCAAUUUCUUUUGUUGUAAAAGGGUAUGAGGAAGGUGGCUUUCUUUUCGGAGAAAGUGUUUAUAGCCUUGUGCCUCUGCAAUCGGAGAGAUUGAGGUCUGCAGCGUAGAUCCUUCGGGGUUAGAUACGUUUGUGCUAAGUUAUAGCUUUUCAUAGACAACUUGUUGACUAUGUUUAGUCUUGUAGCUUACUCGCUGAUGCUAUUUUACCUACGCUUAGGAUGUUGAGUAGCGACAUACGCAC